rnacentral:rRNA from 1 species
UUCCAGACUCCUACGGGAGGCAGCAGUGGGGAAUAUUGCACAAUGGGGGAAACCCUGAUGCAGCGACGCCGCGUGAGUGAAGAAGUAUUUCGGUAUGUAAAGCUCUAUCAGCAGGGAAGAUAAUGACGGUACCUGAGUAAGAAGCCCCGGCUAACUACGUGCCAGCAGCCGCGGUAAUACGUAGGGGGCAAGCGUUAUCCGGAAUCACUGGGUGUAAAGGGAGCGUAGACGGCUGUGCAAGCCUGAAGUGAAAGGCGGGGGCCCAACCCCUGGACUGCUUUGGGAACUGUACGGCUGGAGUGCAGGAGAGGUAAGUGGAAUUCCUAGUGUAGCGGUGAAAUGCGUAGAUAUUAGGAGGAACACCAGUGGCGAAGGCGGCUUACUGGACUGUAACUGACGUUGAGGCUCGAAAGCGUGGGGAGCAAACAGGAUUAGAUACCCGAGUAUAC